rnacentral:rRNA from 1 species
GCAAGUCGAGCGCACCUUCGGGUGAGCGGCGGACGGGUUAGUAACGCGUGGGAACAUACCCUUCUCUACGAAUAGCCUCGGGAAACUGAGAGUGAUACCGUAUACGCCCUUCGGGGGAAAGAUUUAUCGGAGAUGGAUUGGCCCGCGUAAGAUUAGAUAGUUGGUGGGGUAACGGCCUACCAAGUCGACGAUCUUUAGCUGGUUUGAGAGGAUGAUC